GAAAUGCGAUAAGUAAUGUGAAUUGCAGAAUUCCGUGAAUCAUCGAAUCUUUGAACGCACAUUGCGCCCUCUGGCAUUCCGGGGGGCAUGCCUGUCCGAGCGUCAUUACGCACCCUCAAGCCCGGCUUGUGUGAUGGGCCCUGGCGUCUCGUUCGCGAGACGGGCCCGAAAGGCAGCGGCGGCGUCGACCCGAUGAGCCCGUGCGUAUGGGGACUUUUGUCACACGUUUGCGGUGCGGACCGGCGCCUGCUUGACUUUUCUGAUUAUCCAGGUUGACCUCGGAUCAGGUAGGGAUACCCGCUGAACUUAAGC
rnacentral:misc_RNA from 1 species